ensembl:lncRNA
AAAAAAAACACAUAUCUUUUUCCCAGUGUUAAAAAAGUUACAUCUUUUUCCAUAAAAAGAACUUAUCUUUCCGACAGCCCAAAAAUCAAUGCAAAUUUUCACACAGGUAAAUGACAAACACGCACACACACACACACACACACCUGUGGUGAUGAAGUCCCACUCUCAGACUACUCUCAUGUACUUCUGAAGUGAUAGGCAACGUUCAGUACUGAAGCUGUGAGAAUGAUCGUGUGUGUGUGUGUGUGUGCAGUGUCUUAAUAACUGAAACACCAACACAAAGAAACACACACCAAUCCUGUGCACAUCGGUGACAACCUAUCCUCAGCCCGGGAUUCUAUAAAAGCCUCAUGCUUUUUGACAAACACAUUAUUGGUAGAUAAAAUGACUUCCAUAUGCUGUUUGUCAGAUGUCAGUAGGGAAAGAUAUGUAUUUCAUAGGAAAAUCAAAAAUAAUGGACUCGGUGAGAGGGGGCCCGGGCGAACGCAGACAGCGGGAAAUCGAUAGCGCUGCCGGAGAAGGGCCACUGCCAGCCGCCGUCAGCGCAAAGCCAGGUCAAAGUUGAUAUUUAAUAUUGACACAUUAUCCAAGACAUUCAUUUAGAGCGCUGAGUCCAUCGUCACCGCACUACCCUCGUCUCAAAAAAAAUAUAAGCAGUGAAAGAGAAGGUACCAGUUGACAGGGAUACAGAAGAAAGACAGUAAGGACAUUUCUAAAACUAUUAGAUGUUUUAGAUGGAAUGUUUAAGUUGUGUUAGAUGGUUAAAUGUUUUAGAUGGAUGUUUAAGUUGUGUACACAGGAUUUUCCAAUCCUUAUGCGAGCUUUCUUCUUUUAACCAUAUCCCGCGGUUCUGUGAAUUCCAUCUCCAGUGCGCAACGCCACUUUGGGUUUUGGACGCGCUUCUAGGCAUGUAUAAAUGUUAAAACAAGCGUGAAUAAUUAAAGCGGCUAAAGGCAAACUGGCCCAAAUAGUCCGACGAGACAUCAAAAUCAAUAAAUUAUUGUAGGCUCUAAGAAGCUCUUUGUCUUUCUCAGAGACAGAAAGAGAAGGAUAAAGCUGCAGGCAAACUCGGCCGACCUUUCCAAUAAGGAAUCGACAAUCAGGAAACGAUGGCGCUGUUCGUCUUCUUCAUACAGGGAAAAGAAACAGGGCGCUCGGCAGCAGUUUUCCAGCAGAGGGAGGUGUUCAACAGCUGAAAGCCUCGUGACUAUCCUCUGCAUCCUCAUAUGUUCUGACAUUAAAAAGUGCUGUACUGUUUACUGUUUCUGUGGAUUUCUCAGUGCACAGUAUAAUCGAGUGCAUAACAAUACCGCCACAUAUAUGACAUAUAAUUAGUGAUAAUAUGUGUGAUUGCACAAUUAGGCUGUUACUGAUAUCACGUUUACAAAUAUGUAUGUAAAUGAAUGAUAAAACACAGAUACAAUACCUUUCACUACAACCUAUGUGCAUGUUUCAGAUAAACAACUUGAUAAAACAGUAAUAAAACCUCUACAGCGCUUAGAAGACAGCAUUUUGCCCAUCCCAACCAACAAUAAUAAAUAUGAUCAUUAAAAAUACUUCAGAAAUCAUAUUAUUUUAGUUUGAAACAUCACUUAUCAUGUCCCACAACAUUCUCUCAACCUCGUUACCUGAACACAUUCACCCCUAUGAAAUGACGUGACAUGUUCAACAGGACGUUGCAUCAUCAAACUCAUGGGAAGAAGAAACUCAGUGUACAACCCCGUAACCCAAAGUAUAGACUGAAACUGAAUUAUUAACAAUAAUAGUAGCAAUAAAAACAAAUUGCAAGCAUUGGAAUAUUCUUAAAGUCAAUGCCAUUAUCAUGAACGCUAGUUAAAUACAUUGAGUAUUUUUCUAAUUCAAUGUUUAAAAAAAAAACAACAACAAAAAAAACAGUCAACCCUGUUAAUUUAAAAGCAACAUGCAGUCUGUCAGUGAAGAAACUUUCUAAAAGUAUAUAUAUAUAAAUAAAUAAAUAAAUAAAAACUCCUAUAAUGGUAAUCCUAUGGACAAAAUCCCAAUGCGCACAACACAAAUGCUUUCAAUCUGCAAACUCGCCUUUAUAAACACUACAGUAUGAGAAACAAAAACGGUCACCAGCUCCUUCACACAUUCCUCAUACUUUGUUCCCAGCACAUCAACUCAUGGCGAGCUGAAUAAUAUAAUGAGCUGCAUCAAGUGUGUUGGAAUUUAAGAAAAGCUCAACAGGACCGGCGUUUAAAAAGCCCGUCUCCAGUGGAGCUGAAUCGAUUAUGGUCCAGCUAUCUGUGUUUGUUAACUUCUCUUGCUUUCGUUUCUGAGACUUUGCUCUGUGAACCCACAUGUUUAGGUUGCUGCUGUAAAUCCUUUGAGCAACUUCCAUCCACGAGCGGUUUCAUCAUUCAGUAUGAUAAAAUAUUGAUAUUUCACAGUGUUUACUUGAAACGUGAUUGGGGGGGUUGGGGGAAGUGCCUUAUGUUCACCUCAGAACACUUAUUCACAACAUACACGAACACACUGUACUGUUUGUCUUUAAGUACACUUCUACACCUGUUCACUGUAAUGAUUUAAAAUCUCGCUAUCCACCGUCACACCGGUUCCUGCUUGGGGUCUCGAGGUUUCUUCCUCAUGCCGCCUUGCAACUGUCGCCUCUGCCCUGCUCAUUAGUGAUCUAAAUCUACAUAUGUUAAUACAAAUUCCAUACUUUCGGUAUGUUUCUAUAGCCGUGUAGGAACCCUGCGACACGUGAGCGAGCGUCAGGAGGCAGAAAAGCGAGGAAGAAAUAAGACUAUUUCACUGCGCCCGAUUCAUUCUCGUAAUUGAACGCAUUAGCUCCACAAACUCAAUUACGGCGGUUCCCGUCGUGGCUGAGAAAUAAAUAAGUAAGUAAGAAAAUAAAUAAAUAAAUAAACGGACGAACAAACAAACAAAUAAAUAAAUAAAGUGCCCGUCAUCAGGCAGUUGGUUACAAAUGGCUGUAAAUUCAAAAGGGCUUUAGAAUGUCAUGAACUUCAAUUAGGUGGCGAGAAAGGCAGUAAAACCAGGCUUAAUGAUGGCAUCGCUCCUGAGGAUGAAAGCAACCGAAAAGCACUCUAAAUAAACACACACGAGACAGUGGACGUGGAAGGAGAAGCAGUACUCAACCCCAGGACCAGCAUGUUACUUCUCCAACCUGGAUUUUUAAACAGAACCACACACACACGCACGCACGCACACAUGCACACACAAGUGGCUGAGUCUCCUGCCCUCUCCUCUACCCUCUCCUCACCAGGCCGAGAUAUGUAAUUCAAUGCUCAAUUGAGCCCCUCCUGUCUCUGUGGAGAAUCUUUUUGCCUGCUAAUUGAUAGAAAUUAAGCCAUUAAUCAAGCCACCGGCCCAUCAUUCAAGCCGGAGAAGAUGAAUACAAACUUUCAUAACAACCACCUUCCCCAUUUUGGGCCUCAUUAGCAUUAAUUUUUAAUGCAAUUAUGCUAUUCUUUUACGCUGAGCUCAUAAAUUACGGCUCUUUUGUUGCCGGCUGGCCUUGUAAAAGCCCGAGUGAGGCUUUGUAGUCUGAGCUUUAAGGCAAUUACUGGCUUCUUCGCUCUUUUAUCCCGCUGCAUUUCCAAUAACCUUCCAUCUAAUGAUUUAUCCCGGCGAGCCCCUGACACCCACCCAGAGCUCGACUUCUCCCAUUAGCACCCGUCUUAUUUAUCUGUUCCAAUCUGGAGUCUAAAUAAAGACUGUGUCCACUCCUGAUGGAGAGUGUGUGGUGGAGGCUUUGGGGAAUUGGAGCAGGGAUGAAGACAGCGGCAGCCUUGAUUUUAGCUGCAGGCAGAACUCGGAAGUGAAAUGAAGUUUGGAUGUGAUCUUCGCAUUAUGUACACAGUGGUAGAGAUAGAAUAAUGGUAAAUGGUCUGCACUUCUAUAGCGCCUUUUUCCCCCCACCUUAGCGGUUCUAUAAAGCGCU